GAUGAAGAACGUAGCGAAAUGCGAUAAGUAAUGUGAAUUGCAGAAUUCAGUGAAUCAUCGAAUCUUUGAACGCACAUUGCGCCCGCUGGUAUUCCGGCGGGCAUGCCUGUUCGAGCGUCAUUUCAACCCUCAAGCUCUCCGGAGUUUGGUGUUGGGGCGCCUGGGGCUUUUCGACCUCAGGGCCCUCAAGUCCAUCGGCGGGACCGCCAGGACACUGAGCGCAGUAGUAUUAUUUCGCUCGGUAGGGUCUUCCACGGCGGGUCGAUCUGGCCGCUAAACCCCCCAAUUCUCACCAAAGGUUGACCUCGGAUCAGGUAGGAAUACCCGCUGAACUUAAGCAUAUCAAUAAGCGGAGGA
rnacentral:misc_RNA from 1 species